ensembl:lncRNA
CUGACGUUGAACAGCACACAUUUGCCCUAUAUUUGCUGUUAUUGACAAAGAAGCUUAAUAUAUAGAAAUGAAGUAUAUACUUUCACAAGGUCAGCUUCUUUUGAAUUGGCUCCUUUGAGGCCUCCAGUGGGCUGCAUUUUUUGUUUAUCAUAUUGUGCCUUAUUGUGAUUUUGUACAGUGUUUUUUGCAUCAUUAAAAAUUUGUAUGAAGUUGGGUAAGUUUAAUAGUAUAAGCAAGGCAUUUGAGAUAGCCCUACAAUGGGAAAAUUCCUCUAAUGUGUAAUGCAAGACUGUCAGCCACUCCCACAUAUUUGAAGCAAUUUCCAUUCCUCUCUAAGCCUGGAUAAAGCAGCUGUAAGUGAGGCAUUCCUUCCCAACAGUGUAGAAGUGGGAUACUGAGGCUAAUUUUUUUGAGAAACUUGGUUACUAGUGAGGCAACAUGUUCAGACAGAGCAAGUCAAGUACUUGUUCAGAAGAGCAGGUCCUCUGCGUAUCCUGGAAUUGGAUGACUUCAUGCGCAUGUGGUUCCUCAGGAAAAAAGCUGCUUGUGCUGUUAAGUACUGGUGGGAGAGGAGACAUGGAAAGGAGUCAGCUCCUUGGGCCUUGUUCUUUGUUCCAGUCUGCUCUCCAGAUCUCUGGACAUGAUUCCUGGGCAGCAGCGUGUGGGCUGCCUUAACGAUGCUGGGAGCAUGACUGCUGUGUGUGGGAAGGUGGAAGGCGUGAAAGAGAAGUACAGAUGCUCUUGUACAUGGCUGAAGAACUGUCAUUUCUAUCGUUAAGAUGUGAGAGGUGCGAACUGUCUACAUGCGGCAGGCGUGGAGCUGAAGUGUGCAGGUGAAUCUUGACAGCUGUUAAGAAAUACCCAUUCUCCAUUCUCUACUGGUAGUGCUGGCAGGAGACGGAGAAAGAUGGGCCUCACACUACUGGAUUCCACGUUGUAAAUAGGUCCUUCCUCUGAGCAGCUUGACUUCUUCAUGGUUUCCUUGAGAGUGAUGACUGCCUGCCAGAAGCUAUUAAAAUCAAACAAGGAAGUAAGAAACAAACAUAAUCCAACAGAGGCCAUAAGGAAGAUGGAUGUUUUAGCCAAGCAAACAAACAGAAAAGGAACUAUGGAAAUUUUCAAGCCAAUUUAAAAUAAAUUAUUUAACAUACUUGAAAUGAUUAAGAUGAUUAAAGGAUUGCAG